GAUGAACGCUAGCGGCAGGCCUAACACAUGCAAGUCGAGGGAGAAGCCCUUCGGGGCAGAAACCGGCGCACGGGUGCGUAACGCGUAUGCAACCUACCUUUCACAGGGGGAUAGCCCGAAGAAAUUUGGAUUAAUACCCCAUAAUAUUAUUGGAUGGCAUCAUUUGAUAAUUAAAAUUACGAUGGUGAAAGAUGGGCAUGCGUCCUAUUAGCUAGUUGGAGUGGUAACGGCACCCCAAGGCUACGAUAGGUAGGGGUCCUGAGAGGGAGAUCCCCCACACUGGUACUGAGACAGGGACCAGACUCCUACGGGAGGCAGCAGUGAGGAAUAUUGGUCAAUGGUCGGAAGACUGAACCAGCCAUGCCGCGUGCAGGAAGAAUGCCUUAUGGGUUGUAAACUGCUUUUAUAUGGGAAGAAUAAGGAGUACGUGUACUUUGA
rnacentral:rRNA from 1 species